UUCACAGACAUGGGACGACAUUCUGUUCGGGUGGAGUCGUGCAUCUUCGAUUUUUUUUUUUGAAGUUCAUCACGUAUAGAUAAUAAAUAAACAGACAACAGUUGGGCAUAUGAAGAAAUGAACAUUAGCUUUCCCUAAACUCCAGUGGAUGGCACAUGUAUAUUGGCAAGGAUUUUAUCAAUCUUAUUUGUAACUGAUUGCAUUGAGUGUUGUUUAAGAACAAUUGAUGUACAUUAAAAUGUAAAAAGAUACCUCCUUAAAAUAAAAAUUGUUUCUCGAAA